UGCUUUAACAAAGCAAACAGUUGAAAAUGGAAUGAGACAGAGAUAAUUAGCAAGGCCUCUGUACACAGAUGAUGCACAAAUUUGUGAAGGGUUCCACAUUUAA